rnacentral:rRNA from 1 species
GACGAACGCGGCGGCGUGCCUAAUACAUGCAAGUAGAACGCUGAAGGAGGAGCUUGCUCUUCUGGAUGAGUUGCGAACGGGUGAGUAACGCGUAGGUAACCUGCCUGGUAGCGGGGGAUAACUAUUGGAAACGAUAGCUAAUACCGCAUAAUAGUAGAUGUUGCAUGACAUUUACUUAAAAGGUGCAAUUGCAUCACUACCAGAUGGACCUGCGUUGUAUUAGCUAGUUGGUGGGGUAACGGCUCACCAAGGCGACGAUACAUAGCCGACCUGAGAGGGUGAUCGGCCACACUGGGACUGAGACACGGCCCAGACUCCUACGGGAGGCAGCAGUAGGGAAUCUUCGGCAAUGGACGGAAGUCUGACCGAGCAACGCCGCGUGAGUGAAGAGGGUUUUCGGAUCGUAAAGCUCUGUUGUAAGAGAAGAAACGAGUGUGAGAGUGGAAAAGUUCACACUG